AUCCCCACCAGCUCUGGAGGAUGUUUGGGAUCUGGUUUAAGAUCUGGUGAGGUUUUACCCAUCCCCACCAGCUCUGGGGACUCUUUGGGAUCAGGUUUAGGAUCUGCUGGGGUUUAUCCAUCCCCACCAGCUCUGGGGACUCUUUGGGAUCUGGUUUAGGGUCUGGUGAGGUUUUACCCAUCCCCACCAGUUCUGGGUGAUGUUUGGGAUCACGUUUGGGAUCUGCUGGGGUUUCUCCACCCUCACCAGCUCUGGGAGAUGUUUAGGAUCAGGUUUAGGGUCUGGUGAGGUUUAUCCAUCCCCACCAGCUCUGGGCAAUGUUUGGGAUCUGGUUUGGGAUCUCCUGGGGUUUAUCCAUCCCUUAUCCAUCCCCACCACCUCUGGGGACUCUUUGGGAUCAGGUUUAGGGUCUGGUGAGGUUUCUCCAUCCCCACCAGUUCUGGGCAAUGUUUGGGAUCUGGUGAGGUUUAUCCAUCCCCAAUCUGGUUUAGGAUCUGCUGGGGUUUCUCCAUCCUCACCAGCUCUGGGAGAUGUUUAGGAUCAGGUUUAGGAUCUGCUGGGGUUUAUCCAUCCUCACCCACUCUGGGCAAUGUUUGGGAUCUGGUUUGGGAUCUGGUGAGGUUUUACCCAUCCCCACCAGCUCUGGGGGAUGUUUGGGAUCUGGUUUAGGAUCUGGUUUAGGGUCUGGGGAGGUUUAUCCAUCCCCACCAGCUCUGGGGAAGGUUUGGGAUCAGGUUUGGGAUCUGGUGAGGUUUUACCCAUCCCCACCAGCUCUGGGGGAUGUUUGGGAUCUGGUUUAGGAUCUGGUUUGGGAUCUGCUGGGGUUUCUCCAUCCCCGCCAGCUCUGGGCAAUGUUUGGGAUCUGGUUUAGGAUCUGGUUUGGGAUCAGGUUUGGGAUCAGGUUUAGGAUCAGGUUUGGGAUCUGGUUUAGGAUCAGGUUUGGGAUCUGGUUUAGGAUCUGGUUUAGGAUCAGGUUUAGGAUCAGGUUUAGGAUCAGGUUUGGGAUCUGGUUUAGGAUCAGGUUUGGGAUCUGCUGGGGUUUCUCCGUCCCCGCCAGCUCUGGGUCCUUCCCCGGUGCCCAGGGGUGAAGGUGCCAACGCUCAGAGCCCGGCAGGAAAAUUCCCCUUGAAUGUGGG